rnacentral:tRNA from 1 species
UGCGGACGAGUGGAACGGACAACCAUUCCAGUCUCAUACACUGGCGAUAGCGGGUUCGACUCCCGCGUUCCGCAACCA